CCGGGAGCGCCCUCAAAAAGCUCCGGGAGGAUUUGAGCACCAAACUCCAGACCCGGACGGAAUUCCAGGAAUUUCAGGAAUUCCAGGAAUUCCGGGAAUUUCGGGAAUUCCGGGAAUUCCAGGAGCACUCGGAGGUUUUUCUGGAGAAGCAAAACGGGAACUGCUCCUGCCCCGAGCGGCUCCGGGGAAAUUCCCACCAGGAUCCGGAGGACGAGGACGCGGCCCCGAAGCUCCUCCAGAGGCUCCAGGAGGCGGAAAAACGGCACCAAUUGGAGAGGAAAUCCUGGGAGGUGAAUUCUCCACCCAAAAAUCGGGAAUUC